rnacentral:rRNA from 1 species
AUUGAACGCUGGCGGCAGGCUUAACACAUGCAAGUCGAGCGGGGUGAUGGUGCUUGCACUAUCACUUAGCGGCGGACGGGUGAGUAAUACUUAGGAAUCUGCCUAUUAGUGGGGACAACAUCUCGAAAGGGAUGCUAAUACCGCAUACGUCCUACGGGAGAAAGCAGGGGAUCACUUGUGACCUUGCGCUAAUAGAUGAGCCUAAGUCGGAUUAGCUAGUUGGUGGGGUAAAGGCCUACCAAGGCGACGAUCUGUAGCGGGUCUGAGAGGAUGAUCCGCCACACUGGGACUGAGACACGGCCCAGACUCCUACGGGAGGCAGCAGUGGGGAAUAUUGGACGAUGGGGGGAACCCUGAUCCAGCCAUGCCGCGUGUGUGAAGAAGGCCUUAUGGUUGUAAAGCACUUUAAGCGAGGAGGAGGCUCUUUUGGUUAAUACCCAAGAUGAGUGGACGUUACUCGCAGAAUAAGCACCGGCUAACUCUGUGCCAGCAGCCGCGGUAA